rnacentral:lncRNA from 1 species
CUCUGUCUCUCCUGCCACCACGUGAAGAAGGUGCUUGUUUCCCCUUUGCCUUCCGCCGUGAUUGUAAGUUUCCUGAGGUCUCCCAGUCAUACUGCUGGUUAAGCCUGCGGAACGGCUGGUCUUGAACUCCCAGCCUCAAGCCAUCCUCCCGCCUUGGCCUUUCAAAGUGCUGGAUUACAAGCGUGAGCCACCGUGCACAGCCAAGACACAAUUUUAAAUCGAGCGGUCAGGAAGCCUCCUGGGGAAAAUGACGUUUGAACAAAGACAUGAAGAAAGUGGAGAAUAUUUGGGGAAAAGCAUUUCAGGCAGAGGAAAGUGCCAGGGCAGAGGCCCCGAGGUGCUGCUGACAGCCAUCGUGUGCUGCGGAGGAAGAUUGCCUGAGAAUGGAGCCAUUCAGGAGGAAAUGGGGCAGAGAAAUAAAGAGAAAUCAAAUCCCAUCUUUUCAGUCCCGCUUCCCUCACUCCCUCAUCCAUUCUUCCUAGCAGACUAUUCAGUUGUGCUUUUUAAGAUUUAUUCUGUUUUUG